rnacentral:rRNA from 1 species
GAACCCCGGAGAGGGGAGUGAAAUAGAACCUGAAACCGUGUACGUACAAGCAGUCGGAGCCCUCUUGUGGGGUGACGGCGUACCUUUUGUAUAAUGGGUCAUCGACUUGGUCUAUCUAGCAAGCUUAAGCCGUUAGGUGUAGGCGCAGCGAAAGCGAGUCUUAAUAGGGCGAAUGAGUUAGAUGGAUCAGACCCGAAACCGAGUGA